rnacentral:rRNA from 1 species
UAUCAAAAACAUAACUAUAUGUAUUUAUAUAUAGCAAUUUCUGCUCAAUGAGAAAUUUAAUAGCCGCAGUACUUUGACUGUGCAAAGGUAGCAUAAUCAAUUGGCUUGUAAUUAAAGUCUGGCAUGAAUGAAUAUAUGGGGGAGAACUGUUUCCUAAAGAUAUAUGGAAUUUAUUUAAAAAGUGCAAAUACUUUUAUAUAUAUAUUAGACGAGAAGACCCUAGAAAUUUUUGUAAAUUUAAAAUUUCUUUUAGUAUAUUUUGUUGGGGCGACAAAGUAACAUGUAACUUACUGUUUUUACUUGUAUAUUGGUUUAAGGGAGAUAAAAUUACUCUAGGGAUAACAGCAUAAUAUUUUAAAGUUUGUGACCUCGAUGUUGGAUUAGGAAAGAUAGAAGUCUAGAAGAAUUUUAUCUUUGCUCUGUUCGAGCAUUUUUCCCUACGUGAUCUGAG